UCAAAUUUUUGGGGGAAAGGACUGUUGGCAUAGUGGCCAGUAAUUGGAUUAUAAAAGAGGGAGAUGUAAGUACAUGCGAAAAACCUUUAUGUCAAUCAUUUCAAAAAUUCUAUGCAAGUUCUGCAAAACUAUUUUGUUUUCCAUUUCAGAAGACAUGCAGCUACUGGCCACUCCACAAGCCCACACAGAGGGCAAAGGACAAAGAUUUGCCCGAUCCUAAAACCUGGCUAAAAAGGCCAAUAAAAAUAUUUGUGUGUUAAUGUGUGUUAAUGGGCGACAAAUAAAUAAGUGGUGACAUGCAACACAUUUAAAAGAGUGUAAUUUCUAAUUGUUUUGGCCCACCUGACUGUUUAGAUGAUUGGGAUCAGGCCGUCAGGAGGAACAAGAGGGCGGAGACAAAGUCCUGUGUGGAGACAGGAAAUGAGGACAUAGGGAGGCGCAUCAUAGUCAAACCCCAAAAAUGUGAAAAGAGAACAAAGAAACGAAAUGGGAAAAAGGCAGGACAAGGUCCACAUUUCAGGACUUCCCUUCCUCCUCCACCCCAGAUAGAAUCCCCCAUUCCACGGCGUAGCGCACUACAAAUAUCUUCACCCCCUGUGACUGAUGACGGUAGAGUUUUGCAAGGGAAUGAUGGUUAAAAACAAAUACAAAUAAUUGCAUAGAAGUCAAGAAGACACUAUGUUUCGAAACAAAAACACAUAACCUAAAUUCUUAUCUUGUUCUUUCUGUAGAUUACUCCCCUCCUUCACCGGCAAGAGACGUUUUUACAGAAAAUGAUGGUAAAGUUAUGCAUGGUAAUGAUGACGAAUGAUGAUGACAUAACAGUAAUUCUAUGAGCCAAGACAACAAAGAGUUUGAAACCAAAAAAAAACAUUGAAUUAUUAUUUUGUACUUCCUGCAGAUGAUUCGAUUGCGUCUUCAUUUGAAACGCCAUUGCCUAUCUCUACUGGGGACGGUAAAGUGGCGGGUGGAGAGGGUGGUUAAAACCAAACUAGUAACUCUUAUCAACAGGUUAUGACAGUCAUCUGUCUAUACUAACCCUACACAUUAUGCUUUAUACACAUUACUUAGGUGACCGAAGAGAGAGAGAAACCAUACCAAUCUGGGCAAAGAAUAUCAACGGUAAUACAUGUAUUGAACUGUAUUGCACUGUAUGCAAAUGACACCAAAUACUACUAAAUACACUCCUCUCAUCUCAACAUAAUUUUUUUUACAGCCACAUUGGAGGUUCUGCUCCGAAGGCUUGAGACUGUUGAGCAGAAUCAGAGAGAGGCUCUAUUAUUGCUACGGGCAAAUCGACAUGGGGACCCUGGGGAAGCUAGUGUCGAGUUACUGCAGGCGCAAACUCAGGCCGAACUACAGGAACUCGAGGAGCACCUUAAAAAUAGAGAUUUCACAAAAAAAAUGGUAAAUGUACGAAUAAUGGUGAAGUGACUUUAGGCUAUAUUGUACACAUGCCACCAAGUGUGCCACAUGGCCCUGCCAUUGAGCUUUUUUCAUCUUUAGUUCCCUGUUGUUAGCUAAGUAGUUAGAGAUGAGCAGUCCAUCUUCAAAUACCUUAAUUUGGUUCACCCCCCUCAAAAGAAAACACCACCAACACCACAUGAAAAAUACAAUGCAAAUACUUGCCUUAACCAUGGUUGUUUGAUUUCCUUAGAUUUCCCAUCUGAGCCUAGUUGGGGGGUCCAAUCCUGGGGAGUGUGUGAGGAGGGUGCUGCGCUCUGUGGCCUCAAACUUUGUUUGGAGCAGCUACAGCCUUAGGGGAAAGAAGGGGAAGAUGCCA
rnacentral:lncRNA from 1 species